rnacentral:rRNA from 1 species
UACGUAGGGCGCAAGCGUUGUCCGGAAUUAUUGGGCGUAAAGAGCUCGUAGGCGGUUUGUCGCGUCUGCCGUGAAAGUCCGGGGCUCAACUCCGGAUCUGCGGUGGGUACGGGCAGACUAGAGUGAUGUAGGGGAGACUGGAAUUCCUGGUGUAGCGGUGAAAUGCGCAGAUAUCAGGAGGAACACCGGUGGCGAAGGCGGGACUCUGGGCCGAUACUGACGCUGAGGAGCGAAAGCGUGGGGAGCAAACAGG